UGACGGUAACUAACCAGAAAGGGACGGCUAACUACGUGCCAGCAGCCGCGGUAAUACGAAGGCCCCGAGCGUUGUCCGGAUUUAUUGGGCGUAAAGCGAGCGCAGGCGGUUUAAUAAGUCUGAAGUUAAAGGCAGUGGCUUAACCAUUGUUCGCUUUGGAAACUGUUAGACUUGAGUGCAGAAGGGGAGAGUGGAAUUCCAUGUGUAGCGGUGAAAUGCGUAGAUAUAUGGAGGAACACCGGUGGCGAAAGCGGCUCUCUGGUCUGUAACUGACGCUGAGGCUCGAAAGCGUGGGGAGCAAACAGGAUUAGAUACCCUG
rnacentral:rRNA from 1 species